GAUGCCAAGUGAUUACAGUAAUUAAAUUUAAGCUCCAAUAUAAAAAGAUAAAUUGGCUGGUAAUGGCAUUGAAUAUCUUUAACAUGGCCUAAUCAAACAAAAUUUUCUAAAUGGCCCAGAUACCAAACGAAUCACAUCCUAAGAAACUACUACAACUACAAACAAGGUUGCAGCAUGUCUUGAAUGUUAUUACAUCUAUAAAACAGAGUAAGCCGCCAAUAAAGCCGAGUGGUGUUUCACAAUUCAUUCAACCAUUUAAAAAUGAUAGACUAUUGUUUUAUACCUUUGUUACAUUUUUAACUGUACUAGUUUUGUACUAUUUAACAAAGGACUGGAAAGGAAUUACCGCCCCCGAAGAAGUUGAUUUAGGAUCGGUUAGAAUUUUGUCCCGUCAGCACAGAAGACAUACACGGAGGUGUCACGAAUAUUAGUUUCAAAUGUAAUUUUGACAUAGAAAAUUAUACUCUAUAAUAUUUUUUA